AUUGAACGCUGGCGGCAGGCCUAACACAUGCAAGUCGAACGGUAACAGGAAACAGCUUGCUGUUUCGCUGACGAGUGGCUGACGGGUGAGUAAUGUCUGGGAAACUGCCUGAUGGAGGGGGAUAACUACUGGAAACGGUAGCUAAUACCGCAUAACGUCUCAAGACCAAAGAGGGGGACCUUCGGGCCUCUUUCCAUCGGAUGUGCCCAGAUGGGAUUAGCUAGUAGGUGGGGUAACGGCUCACCUAGGCGACGAUCCCUAGCUGGUCUGAGAGGAUGACCAGCCACACUGGAACUGAGACACGGUCCAGACUCCUACGGGAGGCAGCAGUGGGGAAUAUUGCACAAUGGGCGAAAGCCUGAUGCAGCCACGCCGCGUGUAUGAAGAAGGCCUUCGGGUUGUAAAGUACUUUCAGCGGGGAUGAAGGGAGUAAAGUUAAUACCUUUGCUCAUUGACGUUACCCGAAGAAGAAGCACCGGCUAACUCCGUG
rnacentral:rRNA from 1 species